CCAAAGAUUCAAUCCAGGUGUGGCAGAAGGGAAACACCUAAAACAUGCAGGCAGGGGGCCUGAGGACCGGAAUUGAGAAACACUGACUUAGAACAUAUCUGUAUUUUUACAGACUGUGUGCUGAUGGCCACACCUUCGCCAAAGCAGCCGAGGCACAAAUUGAGGUAGAAAGGAUACCGCCAAUCUUACAGAUGCCUUUGCAUGUGCUUGAAGCUAUUCUCCAGGAGGUGAUACUGGCACAGGGAGACACAGCUUAUCUCACUUUGGCAUUGACAUGCAAGUCCUUUGAAGCCAUUGUGUCUCAGCCUGUUUUCCAGAAGAAGACUCAUUUUGCUUGGCUGGACGGUGAGGACCUUUGACUUUUUUCACCUAAAACAUGUGAAAUUAGAUUGUUACUACAUGAAAUCAAUUUUUCAUUAACAGGUGAGAUCAACUGGGGCAAAUUUUCAAAAACAUUCAAGGCAAAAAACUGGACUCCUUUUGCUGUUGUGACAUGUUCUUCCUGCAACCAGCAAUAUAAAGACUGUGUGGGAUUCACUGGAAAUGGAAGACAAGGAGAGUUCCCUCGUUACUACUGUGAUGUACCUGGACUUUGCCCUGAGUGCCAACAUUGAAUUCAAAGAGAAUAUAAGUUGCUUUCCACAAUCUGUCACAUAUUGUUAGUUUUUUUUGUGACAUGUCAUUUGAAAUCGUUUCUGAUAAAGAAUAUUUAAGUUGUGCAGUCAUCCUUUUUCAUAAUGUGUUCUUUCAAUAUUAUUUACAUUUUUGAAUGUUCCUUUUGUUGUAGCUCAGUUGAUUUACAUUAUUUAGUUUUCAUAGAAAUGGUGUCGUUUCCACACAAAGUUACAUUGUGGCUUUAAUUUGUUGGAGAGACAGUAAAACCAAUAAAGCAGUUGUAAAUACAGCGUUGUUUAACUAUUGGAUAACCUUGUUGGAAAAUUUUAAAUGCAAGCAAAGCUAAUAACUUGCAAUAUACAGUGUUUCCUAUACAUUUUUGAACAAUGACUGGAAUCAAUAUAAAUUUUCUUUACAAACCUGACAUACAGACAAGUUGUUUAUGUUUUAACAGUCAGAAUCAACUUGUUUUUUUUUUAUAAAAAAUAAGUUGCAGAAACAUAUUGUUCAGAUGCAAACAUAAGAUUAAACAAGCAAAGCGAAGGUGUAAUCAGGGUGGAGGUGAUGGAAGCUCAGGUGAGGAGCAGUUGCACACAUCAAGCUGGACUUUAUGAAGGGUGGAGGACAUGAGACCGGCGCCGUUAGGCUGGGAGGGAGGCACCUGAUCAGGUGAUUGGCUGAGCAGGUGAGAUGAAGACAGUUAUAGUUAGAAAUUACACAUUGGUUUAAUUUAUGUAUCCAGUGACUUUAUUCAUAAAGGUUUUCAUGUAGAAAAAAGAUGAUUCUCUGGUGGUUACCAGCACAGUGUCUACUACCGGGAUCAGAGCGCCGAAGAUUAUUGUCAAAUGAAAUUUCUAAAAUCUACUUUCUCUGCAAGUCUUUCCAGGUUGAAGCUACGUUUAAGUUUUUAAUUAAUCACUUUGGGUUUUGCAACAAUUGGAUAUUCAUGUUUUUGGAGUGCAGAUUAUGAACUUAUUGCAAUUGAUAAAAUUAAUAUGGUAUUUCUAAAUGGAAUAGUGGGACACCAGUCAGUUUACUGGUUGAGCUGGAGUCCUUAUAGGAGACAUUAUGCUGAACUAUGAUAAUUGAUCCAGGUCACCUGCAGCCAAGAAUAUUCUAGUUACAGAAUGUCACUUGUUAGAAGUUCAGAAGUCCUUUGGUUUGUUUGUAAAUUAUAUUCACAAUGAGAAUAAUAAGAAAAAUAUUUGGCAAAUAAACAACAAAAGUGCACCGUGAAUGGAUGUACUAAGUUGGCCAAAAUUGUUGAGUAAAUGUUUUACUGACCAAACCUCUUUUCCAUCUAGUUCUUAAUAAAUAAGCCAAAGGCUGUUAUAUUUUAGAUUUUAACUUAUUUAUUUUAAGAGUACCAUUCACGACAUCAAAAUAUAUUAUUUGAACUUCAGCACCAGCAAGUAUUUGUUUAUAUCUGUUUUCUUAAUCAGCGAUGGACUGGGGAUCUGUCCAGGGUCAGCAGCCUUCAUGACCCCACUUGAGGAUAAUUCAUAAAAAUUAAUGGAUGGAUAAAUGUGCUCUUAAUGUAAUGUACAUUUGUCUCCAAAAUAUUGAUUUUAUUUUAUUUUUUAUGACUUUUGUUAGAGAUAUAUAGGAUGUAAGGAUAGAUAAAUACAUCUACAUAAUGAUUCCUUAUUGUUGCUUAUUUUAUAUUGUUUGUUACUAAUAUAAUUUUAAAUAAAGAUUUAAAAAUUAAAAGGGACAUACCACGUGACAGACAUGCCACGUGACAUAUCACGUUUUGUAGCCAUUUCUUUACUGUUAAAUUUGUAUUUUUAAUGUUGAAAGUGUUCUUGGGUGUUUUGAAAGGCGUUGUCAAAUAAAAUACGUUAUUAUUAUUAUAAUUAUUAUUAAACGGUCGGUACAGGAAAUAGUGUCACUAGCGCCCCCUUCAGUUCCGGAAUGAAAUGGUCCCAUUUCCAUAUAAGGUAUGAGACUGACAGUGGUCCGUCCCCGCCCCUUUCUGUUUGCUGCAGCGAAGUGUACUUCAGCCUGUCUGCCGCGCUCCGAACGAAACAACCGCCAGCUGUUAAAAAGGGGCGGGACGAUCAACCCCAUUGGCCGACACGAAACCAGACCGUGCCAGCCAUUGGCUGCCUAAUCUGUCAAUAGAAGCUAACGCUAAAAGCAUAUUUCACAUUUUUUUUGAAGAUUUACGUAAUUAUCUUUUAGCUAUUUUGGUAGAAUAAGACAUUGAAUCAACAUCUAUUAUUUUUUUCUUGUGUUUUUAAACACUGGGUUACACUAGUCAUACGGUUCAGAAAGGAAACAGGUUCUGUUUGUUCUGUUGUGGGUGGAAAACCAAACCUGAGGAUCAAGUGAAGAUGCUGGCUGGAGCUGCUGACAGUUCUGAGUUCACUAAAGGUCACUCAGCUGGGAAGAAGCCACUACGCUCAACGCAGCUUCAAAUGCAAGAUUACAGUUUGCAAAUCAGAAUGUAGUUUUGGUAUUGUUCAUGUGUGGAUCGAGUAAAUUAAAAUGUUUCCAGACUCUUUCUGUUUUCCUGGUGUGUAAAACUCUGACAUUUUCCAAAAACAGUUUCUCAAGAAAGUGAAAUAACUUUCAGGCUGAUCAUUUGUAACAGACGGUGAAAUGGACCAGAAAGCCUCCUGUUGUCCACUGUAAUGUGGUUUUUCUGACCACCAUCAAUUGGCCAUGUUCAUGUUUGGAAACAAAGUCAAUAUUUGUGACAUUACCUAAAUUUACAGGUAAAAAACAUCACUGAGUUUUUCUCAACAGUAGCAAUCACUGAAAGUCCCGGACCCGGCGACAGCCUGCGUGUAUAUAAAGGGACACUAGAGCCCACAAAAGACCCCUGGAGGAGUAAAAAAAGGUCUUCUGUAAUGAAAAAAUAACAGUUUUUUAAGCUGGUCGUGUUCAUUUGUAACUUGUCGCUUAUCAUAUGAGUUGUUUUGAAACCUCAGUGGUUUCCUGUUCUACCAGUUCAUUUCUGCAUCUGAUUCUGAUAAAUGAAGGUAAAAAGAAUUAAUAUGUAAAACAUUAUUACAUUAACAUUAUGUACUCAGGACUGACAGCUGUUAUUCACUCUAGUGAGUCUGGAAAAAUAAUAUGCCACUAGUAUUGUUAGGAUGUCUUAGUUUAAGCUCUUACAUCGACCUUUUGGACUGAACAAAACCUCUGCUCUCUUAUUCAUGCAUGAAACUAAAAAGCUUAACAGUGUUUAAAAGCAUUUUUAAAGAGCUUGCUGUAUCAGGUGCUGCAGAUGUCAGAAGAAAAGUUACUAUUUCUGUUUUAGAUUAGAAUAAAACAUUCACAAACAAUUUAGACAUUAAAACAUCUUUAAACUUUCCAGAAGACAGGUGCAGACGAUCGAUUCAGUUAGUUGUUUGAAAAUCGAUGUUUCCUUUUAUCUAACCUUAUAUUUUUUAAGGUUAGAUAAAUCUGUCCUUACUAUUCAGUCUUUUACACCUGGCAGUAAAGGACAUUUCUGUUCACUUUUUCUAAUCUUUG